rnacentral:rRNA from 1 species
CACGUAGGCGGACCAGAAAGUCAGAGGUGAAAUCCCAGGGCUCAACCUUGGAACUGCCUUUGAAACUAUUGGUCUGGAGUUCGAGAGAGGUGAGUGGAAUUCCGAGUGUAGAGGUGAAAUUCGUAGAUAUUGGGAGGAACACCGGUGGCGAAGGCGGCCACCCUGGCCCGAGACUGACGCUCAAGUGCGAAAGCGUGGGGAGGCAAAACA